rnacentral:rRNA from 1 species
AACGAACGCUGGCGGCAUGCCUAACACAUGCUAGUCGAACGAGACCUUCGGGUCUAGUGGCGCACGGGUGCGUAACGCGUGGGAACCUGCCCUUAGGUUCGGAAUAACUCCCCGAAAGGGGUGCUAAUACCGGAUAAUGUCUUCGGACCAAAGAUUUAUCGCCUUUGGAUGGGCCCGCGUUGGAUUAGCUAGUUGGUAGGGUAAAAGCCUACCAAGGCGACGAUCCAUAGCUGGUCUGAGAGGAUGAUCAGCCACACUGGGACUGAGACACGGCCCAGACUCCUACGGGAAGCAGCAGUGGGGAAUAUUGGACAAUGGGCGAAAGCCUGGUCCAGCAAUGCCGCGUGAGUGAUGAAGGCCUUAGGGUUGUAAAGCUCUUUUACCCGGGAUGAUAAUGACAGUACCGGGAGAAUAAGCUCCGGCUAACUCCGUG